rnacentral:rRNA from 1 species
GACGAACGCUGGCGGCGUGCUUAACACAUGCAAGUCGAACGGAAAGGCCCUGCUUUUGUGGGGUGCUCGAGUGGCGAACGGGUGAGUAACACGUGAGUAACCUGCCCUUGACUUUGGGAUAACUUCAGGAAACUGGGGCUAAUACCGGAUAGGAGCUCCUGCUGCAUGGUGGGGGUUGGAAAGUUUCGGCGGUUGGGGAUGGACUCGCGGCUUAUCAGCUUGUUGGUGGGGUAGUGGCUUACCAAGGCUUUGACGGGUAGCCGGCCGGAGAGGGUGACCGGCAACAUGGGGAUUGCGAUACGGCCCAGACUCAUACGGGAGGCAGCAGUGGGGAGUAUGGCACAAUGGGCUGAAGCCUGAUGCAGCAACGCCGCGGGCGGGAUGACGGCCGUCGGGUGGUAAACCGCUUUCGCCUGUGACGAAGCGUGAGUGACGGUAAUGGGUAAAGAAGCACCGGCUAACUACGUG